rnacentral:lncRNA from 1 species
GAAACAUUUGCUCUUGGAAUUCUCCCUCUCAGGAAACUAACAGCCUGCUAUGAAGCCCAAGCCACAAAGAGAGGCCAAGGGGAAAUAAACAGAGUGUGAUUAUAUGCAAAACCUACAAGAAUGAGGACCUCCAAACUCAGUGUACAGAGUGAUUUUCUGCUGAAACAAUUGGAAAAUAAAAGAGACAUCAGUGUGUGAAUGACGACUUUCUGUUGCUGACUUGGAAGACAGAGGAAUUGGGUCAUGAGCCGAGGAAGGUGGGCAGCUUCUAAAAGGCGGAAAAGAUACAAGAUGUAUACAGAAAAUUACAUUAAAUACCUGUCUCCAGCCUGCUUCAUGUAUUUCUGCAAUGACUAAAGAUGCAUGUUCAGUUUUGGAGGAAUCUUGGGCAACCUUCAGAAAAGAAGAGCGGCAUUGAAUUAAAUGGACUAUAAAAGGAAAUCUUUCAGCUGAAGUAUUCUGACAGCAGCAUAUUCUUGCCAACCAGGUCGUUCCAAAUGUGUAUCUGACCAUUAUUUUAAAUUAGAAGAUAUACCACUGUCAAACCAUAUCAGCCAAGAAUAAAAAGUGACAUAAUAAUGUUAAAGGAAAAACCA